rnacentral:rRNA from 1 species
AACGAACGCUGGCGGCAGGCCUAACACAUGCAAGUCGAACGCUCCGCAAGGGGAGUGGCGCACGGGUGAGUAACGCGUGGGAAUCUACCUAUUAGUAAGGAAUAACAGUUGGAAACGACUGCUAAUACCUUAUACGCCCUACGGGGGAAAGAUUUAUCGCUAAUAGAUGAGCCCGCGUAAGAUUAGCUAGUUGGUGAGGUAAUGGCUCACCAAGGCUACGAUCUUUAGCUGGUCUGAGAGGAUGAUCAGCCACACUGGAACUGAGACACGGUCCAGACUCCUACGGGAGGCAGCAGUGGGGAAUAUUGGACAAUGGGCGAAAGCCUGAUCCAGCCAUGCCGCGUGAAUGAUGAAGGCCUUAGGGUUGUAAAGUUCUUUCGCCACCGAGGAUAAUGACGGUAAGCGGAUAAGAAGCCCCGGCUAACUUCGUGCCAGCCGCCGCCGUAA